UACAGAGGUCUCAAGCGUUGUUCGGAUUCAUUGGGCGUAAAGGGUGCGUAGGUGGCGCGGUAAGUCGGGUGUGAAAUCUCGGAGCUUAACUCCGAAAUUGCAUUCGAUACUGCCGUGCUCGAGGACUGGAGAGGAGACUGGAAUUCAUGGUGUAGCAGUGAAAUGCGUAGAGAUCAUGAGGAAGACCAGUGGCGAAGGCGGGUCUCUGGACAGUAACUGACGCUGAGGAGCGAAAGCGUGGGGAGCGAACAGG
rnacentral:rRNA from 1 species